rnacentral:rRNA from 1 species
UACGAAGGGGGCUAGCGUUGCUCGGAAUCACUGGGCGUAAAGCGCACGUAGGCGGCUUUCUAAGUCAGGGGUGAAAUCCUGGAGCUCAACUCCAGAACUGCCUUUGAUACUGGAAAGCUUGAGUUCGGGAGAGGUGAGUGGAACUGCGAGUGUAGAGGUGAAAUUCGUAGAUAUUCGCAAGAACACCAGCGGCGAAGGCGGCUCACUGGCCCGAUACUGACGCUGAGGUGCGAAAGCGUGGGGAGCAAACAGG